rnacentral:rRNA from 1 species
CCUACGGGGGGCUGCAGUGGGGAAUAUUGCGCAAUGGGCGAAAGCCUGACGCAGCGACGCCGCGUGAGGGAUGAAGGUCUUCGGAUCGUAAACCUCUGUCAGCAGGGAAGAACGGUCACUGUGCUAAUCAGCAGUGAAUUGACGGUACCUGCAAAGGAAGCACCGGCUAACUCCGUGCCAGCAGCCGCGGUAAUACGGAGGGUGCGAGCGUUAAUCGGAAUUACUGGGCGUAAAGCGCUCGUAGGCGGUAUGGCAAGUCAAGGGUGAAAUCCCCGCGCUCAACGUGGGAACUGCAUUUGAAACUGGCAAACUGGAGUGUGUGAGAGGAUAGUGGAAUUCCAGGUGUAGGAGUGAAAUGCGUAGAUAUCUGGAGGAACAUCAGUGGCGAAGGCGACUAUCUGGCACAUAACUGACGCUGAGGAGCGAAAGCGUGGGUAGCAAACAGGAUUAGAUACCCGGGUAGUC